GCUUCGGUAGCUCAGUCGGUAGAGCGGCAGCUUAGAAAACUGUGCGUCGUGGGUUCAAUCCCCACCCGAAGCACCA
rnacentral:tRNA from 1 species